UUCAACUUCCGGUCGAGUUCCUUGCCGCCUGCUUUCACCGCACAAAAUGAAUCCCCUUAUGCUUGGAAAUAAGCAACCAAUGCGUGGACGAUGAAAAAGAAAGUUAAAUGGCUUCGAGGAAGGAUGUAGAUUGCAGCUUCUGCAAAUAUGUAAUCGCGCGCAGGGGCGUCGAGUCGAGGAUGGCAGCGGGGAGUCUGUGCUUCACUGACCGGCGGAUCAUGAUCCAGAACAGAAUAAAUUCAACAAUUCAUUUCACCGGCAUUUAUGGAUGUUUUUUGCUCAUGCUUCCAUUAUCUCUUUAUUUGGCUCUUCCACCCACCACUACUACCCUCAGCAUCUACUGCACCUCAGUGACAGUUUUCUUCAUUGUCAUUAAGAUGGUAAAUUAUCACCUCCAUCUGAUGUUUGAUCAGGGCGACAUUAUAGCCCAGAAUAGUGUGGCUGACAUUAGCAAAUGUGUAGACAAGAAAAGCAAUGCAUCUAAUUCCUGUCUUCCAUUGGAAGAGCAGCACAGUUCCUGACAGUGUUGCCAUAUCUGUAUUGACCCAAAACAGGCCAAGUUCAGUAAUAAAAGUGCUAAAAGUAAAAGUAAUAAAAGUAAUAAAACAGCCUGAAACAGACCCUGGACUGAUUGGAUUGCAUGCAUGCUGAGUGUGAUAUCCUGCCAGGACCUCUCAAAAAGAGCUGUCAGACAUCUUUGUCAGACAUCCCAAGCACAGCAUUACACUUACAUUGUCAGAGUGAUGAAAGAUCUAUGCCAGAGGCGGAGGAGCGACUCACCCCUGAGGAUGUGUUCAGUCCCAACACUGACGAGUCUGCCCCACUCCUGCAGGGAGAGCAGAUUCCUUCAGCCCACAGGGAUAAUGCUGAGGAUGAUCAACCACCUUCCCCUGUGAAUGAAGAAGACAGUGUAGAGGAAAAGACAAACCCCCAACAACAAUAAUACCUCUCUACAAAUCACACGAGAUGCCAACGAUGGAGAAUUGCCUGAGGAGAAUUAUUGCUCAGAUGAAAUUGCUGUGGUGCUUGUUGACAACUCGAGUCCCUCGGCCCACCUGGACAAGAGUGAUACGGUUAAGAUCCUUAUCACAAUGAGCUGUGACCCACAGACGGCAGCUGAAAACUGAAUGAGUCCGUCAAACAGCGCAUCUUAGAGUCAGCUCAGUCCAACCAGGGAGAAUACUGUCCUGUUAAAAUUCCUGUCAUCACCUUCGAUUUGCCUCACGAAGUGGAGGAACCCUCUGCAGGUGAUGAAAAAGAAGAUACACCUUUUGCAGGAGAGAGCUCUGUUCAGGACAAGUCCGAACAUCUGACAUUGCUCAGGAAUACAAAGAAUUUGGGAUCAAUGAACUUGAGAUGCCCAAUCUGAGCCCCCAAGGAGAGGAAAGAUAACUUUACCAGCUGUAACAGUGGCAUGAACAUGGAGGAUGUGGAUUGUGCUGGUUCCUCCUUAAGUCAGAAUCAUAACUCCGCCACAUCCCAGAGCCGAAGCCUUUUUCACGGCCGCCAAAGCAGCUCCCAGUCCAGACACCACGGAGUUCAGAACAUACUAUAUAAAUCUGUACAGUUUACAGUCCUAAAGUCUGUAAGAAAAUUAACAUAUUAGUUAAUAUCAAAUGGUAUUUUCCCCACAGCUCACCGGGAGUAUCGCAGUCGCCCAGUGCAACCUCAGGGCCAACGGCCCCCUGUCACCAGCUGAUCGAGUCCCAUCCUGGACAGCCAGCACGGCUCCAACAGCCAGCUGUCCUUCAACACCUCCUCCAUUGCCUCCGUCUUUUCCCAGGUGCCUCGUUUAUCCACAACAGGGCCUCUGGCUCUGGCUCCAGCCAGGCGUCUUCCUCCAGCUCCACACUGAGCCUGCUGUUGGCAAGCGGAGCUGCUCCAGCGGCUUGGUCAUCUCAGGCCUCUCUGCAGCUGAGAGGGGGAACACCAGAGAUACGCAGUCCUCAAGUUCUGACAACAUCGUCCUAGGCCCGUCCUGUCACUCGAGUCAUGCAAUGCAGCAGUGGACAUCAGAGGCGUAGGAGAGCAUAGAUGCUCCACCAUUGCCACAGAACCCAAGGUCCACAGCACAGACAAGUGCCAAGACGACAUGAGACCACAACAGCCCAGCAUGGUCCAACUCCUAAGCCCUCAAGUCAUGUACAUUACAGAUGUCUUUUUGAAAAACUAAAAAUCUGCCAUGAGUACAAAUGAACUGAUUUGCUGAAAUCAAAACAGGGACGAUAGUAAGUGAGCCCCAGCCAAUGAGACUGCCGUUUGCGCAUAAGUUCUGCCCACUUCGCACAUGAGAGGAAGCGUGAGGUGUGCGCCUUCACACAAGAGACUUAGGUCUCUGCAGAGCAAAAGUGGGCGUUUAUCACCAUGUGGGUGUUUUCAAACUGCUGGGUGUUUCUGAAUCCAACCCCACCCCUAAACCUAACGUCACUAUUACAUCAACCAAUCAGGUCUCAUGGUGUAAAAACACCUUGAUCUAGUAACUCCCAUUACUUUCCUGCAGAGACCUAUACUUGGAGUUUAACGUACGCUAAUAAUGCGUUCUCGACAUUUGUCAGUAAAAUAAUGCCAUAGAUACACAAACACAAACAAAUCGUUUGACAGAGAGUGAAACUCUGAAGCGCUCAGUCAGAGAGUGUUUGGCAAGUGAUAAUAUAUCUGUUCUAAACCUUUACUCAGCCUCCAACUCAAACACUGGCGAGUAAAUUCUGAGAAUUUAUUAGCCACUGGCUUAUAUUAGACAUCAUUCAAUCGCAUAUACGAGUGAUUUACUCACAAUGUAGAGGGUUGGCAAAAGCUUGUUACUAUCUCUGAGGUUAAAUGGUGGAAUCUGAUGGCUACAAGUAUUUACAUUUGCACUUUGAUUGCGUGCACUUCAUGAACACCAUCACUGACAGCACUGAUUAUUUUUAUACUGUUGCCUAAGUAAUGUAAGAUCACGUAACUAAAGAAAGUGUCAGGGAUGUUACACAGUACUUUACUUGCACAGUGCUGUUUUGAAACAUGUUAUGAUCCAGAUGUGUCAUUGGUAUAUAUUAACAUACAAGCACUACAAGGAUUCUGAACUGGUUACUGAUGCAUUAAAAGCAGUGACAAGAAAAAUGUUAUUUCUCUAGAUGAACUAAAAAAACAACAACAACCAAAAAUGGCCGUGUUCACUCUUUGAAACGUUAUAUGCACUUUUUCCUCUGAUGUUUCACCAUUAAUGAGAUGAUGAAUUGACCCAUGGACGAUUGUUGUAAAUGAUCUUUACAUCCCUGAGUAUGGCAAGCUCAAAUUUAUUCAAUAAUUCUUCCAAGAAGUAAAAUGAGGAUGGAGGAAUUUCAUGGAUCUGGAAAUAUAGUUGAUAAAAGCAAAAUGCGCAUUUAUACUAUGGGAAACAAGGGGCUUCCAGUAUAUUUAUUAUGUGAUGGGGUAUAAUGCUCCCAUAAAUAGGGAGAUGCACUACCAUGAACACAAUUUGAAUAAAAAAAGUUUUAAAAGAAUCUGAAUUUUGUCC